ensembl:lncRNA
CUUGGCUGUACAGAGAACUCACCACCAUCCCACUGAAACUAGCCCUCUAUCAUGAGAGAGAGACAGAGACAGAGAGAAAGAGAGAGAGAUGCUUCGAGGGGACACCUACGCUGCUGGUGAGCUGGGUUUUGAACCAAACACACACUCCUGUUCAUCCCGGUGGAGCAGCUCUACUGAUCCAGGGACCAGACUGGCUGCAGCAGAGUCCCAGGAUCCUGCCCACCUGCCAUGGUUGAAGACAAUCCUUUUCCCGCCUUCCGUUGCAGAGAUGCUCUCUUUCCUCCCCGUGUUUGACAAUCAGAGAGCCGAGACUCGUAAAGUCCCAUGACCUCCGAGGCUCCGUUGGACAUGUAACCCUGACUGUUUCCACUGUACUUAUGAACUACGACUUUAACUCUCCAACAGUCAACCAAUCAUCUCGCUGCCCCUGCCAGGUUCACUGACUGAAUGAUAAAUCCUAGACAACAAACUAGUCAGCCUAAAAACCAGAAGGACCAAUCAGAAAGGACCAUUGAGAGUGACCAAACAUAAUUUUUUUGUGUGUCGUUUUUUUAGAUAGUUUGUGAGCCCUUGAAAGACUAUGGGAGAGAGCAAAUCCUGAUGUGGGUUUGUUUACGUAGCCACAUACGGAUAGCAUUAGCAUGGUCCACAACAUGGACCUCAGAUCCACAUGGACCUUCUCAAUGUACCGUGCCAAAGGAACCACUCCCUGUCAGCAGAGAGACACUGAGAGGGGAACCGGGUUCCUAUUACUCUAGAACCCUCAAAGAGAACUCAGAGAAGUGUUCUGUGUAUGCUACCUUUCUCUGAAUGUUCUUAAGUCUGGAAACACUCCUGUCAUCCUAUCACUGGACAGCUCUCUUGGUUGACAGUGCUCCAGGUAGACGAUGUCCAUAGGAACUGAUCUAGGAUCAGUGCCCUUUCAAAAUCCUUAACUAUCAAGUGGGAAAACACAACUGACCUCAGACCAGUGUCUAGGGGCAACUUCUUCCCUCUCUGGGUGAAGGGUAUAAACGGUGACCAAAC